AGAAAGUGGAGCAAUCCAUGAGUAAAGUGGCGCACGGGUGAGUAACACGUGACUAACCUACCCUCGAGUGGGGAAUAACCUAGGGAAACCUGGGCUAAUACCGCAUAACACUUACGAGUCAAAGCAGCAAUGCGCUUGAGGAGGGGGUCGCGGCAGAUUAGCUAGUUGGUGAGGUAAUGGCUCACCAAGGCGAUGAUCUGUAUCCGGCCUGAGAGGGCGCACGGACACACUGGAACUGAAACACGGUCCAGACUCCUACGGGAGGCAGCAGUGGGGAAUUUUGCGCAAUGGGGGAAACCCUGACGCAGCAACGCCGCGUGGAGGAUGAAAUCCCUUGGGAUGUAAACUCCUUUCGAUCGGGACGAUUAUGACGGUACCGGAAGAAGAAGCCCCGGCUAACUUCGUGCCAG
rnacentral:rRNA from 1 species